AUUCACUGAUGGUUGUUGACCAGGGUUCCCUGUACUAUACAGACCUCUGCUAUUGGAGUACUGACCAACCCUGUUGUCAGUGAUU
ensembl:snoRNA